rnacentral:lncRNA from 1 species
GACCAUAAAUGUGAUACCUGCGGUAAAAGUUUUGAAUCCUCGUCUGCUUUUAUAUAACACCUGAUAUAUCCUGAAAGAAAACGACCAUUUUCAUGUGAUAUUUGUAAGAAAACGUUCAAAUAUAAAUUUGAGUUAAAAAGAGACAUGAAAAUAGUACAUCCACAGGAAAAAACCGCAUCUUCUUCCAAAGAUGAGAAACAGAAACAUGAAUUCACGGAAUGUAAACAAAUAUUUUCAAGGAAAUCGCAAUUAGAUGUGCACCUGAGAAGCCAUACUGGUGAGAAACCGUUUCCAUGCGAUAUUUGAUGUUAAAAAUUCUCCCAGUCUGGAAAUUUAACAAUUCACAAAACAAUACAUUCGGAAGAACGACCUUUCAAAUGCAACUGUGGAUAUGCUACAAAAAAAAAAUUUGAUCUGUUAUCACAUGUCAAACGAUUACAUCCACAUGCAAUCGUUUCUGAUAUUAUUACUAUUCCCCCAAAAAACUCGAAAGAAGAUCACAAAUGUGAUAAAUGUGGUAAAAGUUUUCCAUGGUUAUCCACUUUAACAAAACAUCUACUAUCUCAUGAGAAAAGUCGACCGUUUUCAUACCGUUUUCAUGUGAUAUUUGUAAGAAAAGGUACAAACAUAAAUUUCACUUAAAAGCACACAUGAAAAUAGUACAUCCACAGGAACAAACAGCAUCUUCU